AUCCUACAUAGCUCAGUUGGUUAGAGUGUGGUGCUCAUAGGGCCAAGGUUGCAGGUCCGAUCCCCGCAUUGGACA